AGCGGUGAAAUGCGUUGAUAUCGGAAGGAACGCCGAAAGCGAAAGCAGCUAACUAUAGAAUACUUGACGAUGAGGGACGACAGUUUGGGGAGCAAACAGGAUUAGAUACCCUGGUAGUCCAAACCGUAAAUUAUGCUUGCUAGAUGUUUUUAUCAAUUUAUUGGUAGGAGUGUCGUAAUCUAACGAGUUAAGCAAGCCGCCUGGGUAGUAUAUUCGCAAGAAUGAAACUCAAAGGGAUAGGCGGGGGAACACACAAGCAGUGGAUUAUCUAGAUUAAUUGGAUAAUAAGCCAAGAAUCUUACCUAGGAUUGACAUGUAUUGUGUCUGCGGUGAAAGUCGCAUAUCCGUAGCAAUACGGAGCUUUACACAGAUGGUGCAUGGUCGUCGUCAGCUCGUGCCGCAAGGUGUCUAGUUAAGUCUGGAAACGAGCGCAACCCUCGUGUUUAGUUAGUAUGUCUAAACAGACUGCUCGGGUAACCGAGAGGAAGGAGAGGAUGACGUCAGAUCCUCAUGCCCCUUACACCUAGGGCCUCAUAGAUAAUACAAUGGGUAGGUACAGCGAGAAGCGAAACCGCGAGGUGGAGCAAAUCUUUAAAACUGCCCUUAGUUCGGAUUGUACUCUGGAACUCGAGUACAUGAAGUUGGAAUUGCUAGUAAUGGCAGAUCAGCCAUGCUGCCGUGAAUACGUCCCUGUUCCUUGCACUCACCGCCCGUCAAACCAUGGGAGCUGAGGCUCUUUGAAGACUCAUUAUAUGGGUUAAGGAGGGAAUCAGUGACUGGGGUUAAGUCGUAACAAGGCAUCCCUACCGGAAGGUGGGGAUA
rnacentral:rRNA from 1 species